GAGGAUGUAAUUCAAUGGUAGAGUGCAUGCCUAUUAUGCAUGAGGCCCUUGUUUUGAACCCAACCAUUUCA
rnacentral:tRNA from 1 species